GGAUUUGAAGUCAGGACUUUUGACCUUUGAUUUUAUUUUGAGACAUAAGUUGUGUAUGAAAUUGUUAGCUUGAACACUUAGGAAAAAUUGGGACCAUAAUUCAUAAAUUUGGAAAUUAAAACUCUUGCAUAAAAAAAAAAAAAAAAAAAGGAAGAUGUGUGGAUUGAAGUGGUCCCCACACAUUGUUGUGGCCAAUUUUAAUUGGUCCAACACAUGUGUGGGCCCAAAGACAAUAAGAGAUAUUUUAAGGGGACUUAAAAGAUGACCACUUAGUCAUCUUUCUCUCAUUUCACAUUCCCACACUUAGAAAAUAAAGCAAGAAGUUGAGGAACCAAAACCAUGGCUCACGGCCAAGACCAUGGAAAACCAAAUCCAAAUCAAGCCCCUCUAAAAAUAUUUCUUGGGUACAAAUCAACUAAUUAGAGGUCCCUAAGUAACUUGGAAGCAUUGUUGGAGUGAUCAAGUCUUUCAUUUAAGAGAUUUGCAAACCCUAGCCUAUUGGUGGAUUGAAGAAGAAAGACCUUGGGGAGCCCGAGGCGUGGAUUGGAAAUUUACUUUAGAUUGGCUAUUUUGGAAGUGCGUACGAGGUACAGACGCACAGCCUGGUGAUCCACCUGUUUAGGACACCCUUUCUGCUAUGCGGAGUGCUCCUCUCUUUCCGGAGCUUAUACUUUUGGUAUAUAUAUUUAUUAGUGCAUUUGUAUAUAUUCGUUCAUGGGUACGGCGGGGCCCUGUCCCGUCAUAUGAUUCUGUCGGUCUGUUUAGAGGUCUGUGGACAUGUUUGUGGGUUAGGGUCUUUCUGUAUGGAUGUAUGUACAUGUCGUUUGGGCGAUCCCAUACGCCGAGGCGGCCGGUCCGCAUAUGUUGUUUGGGCGAUCCUAUACGCCGAGGCGGCCGGU